CCUACGGGGGGCUGCAGUGGGGAAUACUGGGCAAUGGGCGCAAGCCUGACCCAGCAACGCCGCGUGAAGGAAGAAGGCUUUCGGGUUGUAAACUUCUUUUCUCAGGGACGAAGAAAGUGACGGUACCUGAGGAAUAAGUCACGGCUAACUACGUGCCAGCAGCCGCGGUAAUACGGAGGUGGCAAGCGUUAUCCGGAUUUAUUGGGUGUAAAGGGCGUGUAGGCGGGAGGGCAAGUCAGAUGUGAAAACGCAGGGCUCAACCCUGAUCCUGCAUGUGAAACUGUGUUUCUUGAGUGCUGGAGAGGCAAGCGGAAUUCGGUGUGUAGCGGUGAAAUGCGUAGAUAUACGGAGGAACACCAGUGGCGAAGGCGGAGUGCUAGACAGUAACUGACGCUGAGGCGCGAAAGCGUGGGGAGCAAACAGGAUUAGAUACCCGAGUAGUC
rnacentral:rRNA from 1 species